CCCUUAGAUGUUCUGGGCCGCACGCGCGCUACACUGAUGCAUUCAACGAGCCUAUCCUUGACCGACAGGUCCGGGUAAUCUUUGAAUCUGCAUCGUGACGGGGAUAGAUUAUUGCAAUUAUUAAUCUUCAACGAGGAAUGCCUAGUAGGCGCAAGUCAUCAACUUGCAUUGAUUACGUCCCUGCCCUUUGUACACACCGCCCGUCGCACCUACCGAUUGAAUGGUCCGGUGAAGCCUCCGGAUUGGCGCGCACCUCGGUGCCGCCGAGAAGUUGGCUAAACCUUACCAUUUAGAGGAAGGUGAAGUCGUAACA
rnacentral:rRNA from 1 species